AUGCGCGCCGCGCCCGUUACGGGACAGGAACGGCAGUUGGUGCCCCGCGCAUGCGCUACGGCUCAGCACCGGGACUCCCCGCCGUGGCGGCGGGGCGCUAGGAGCGGCGGGAGCUCGUGCCGCGGCGGAGAAGCUUGAGGGCCCAAGGAUCAGUGUGUGGGGAAUCCUCUGCCUUGAGGGGAAACAGAUGGUGCAGCCUGGUUUACUGACAACACUUUGUCCCUGGUCCUGCAGAUACACAGGUGCUUCUCAAAAGAACCAUGAUGGUUUAAAAUAAAGCCAAAAUUACGCAUUUGCUGGGCAAGAACAUAUGUUAUUUGUACCUAAUAGUUUGACUCUAGUAGAGCCCAAAGGCAGAAAUGUUGACUGGUGCUCAGUCUGUUGGUUUCUGUAUAAACUCUCAAAAAAUCACCAUCCAGGUAAAGUCCCUGUUUUGGUGAGAAAAAGAGACCCUUGGGUGGCUGGCUUUCGUAUCUGCCUAGAAUCCUCUUGUUCAUCUCCCUGCUCUCCUCUUUGUUUUUGCUGCUUGGAUUAAAAUAGUUUUCAGAAGAUGCAGAAGUCAUUUUGUUGCUAUACACUAUGCGCAUGUGUCAGAGGCAGAAACAGGAAAAAAAUUUACCAUGGCCUUUAUAUUUGGAAGAAAAUGGACCUCAAGUUCUUUUGAGCAUUUGCUUUUCCCACUGGGUCAGUUUUUAUUACACUUUUUUUUCUGCAGAAAAAGAACCUGUCAAAUGAUAGAAAACAGCAAUUUAGACGGGAUGUUUGACACGUUGUACGCUUGUGAAACUCCAACUGUGCUUUGGGGUUCUCAGUUGUAGGCCAGGCUUUUGCCCAGAGUUUUCUCUGAAAAUUGAACACAAAGAGAUUGACAUCAUUGCCUGAGAGCUGACCUCUAGCUGUUAUCAUAGCAGUCCAUGGAUGGUACACAUCUGCACAUCCCUGAGGUCGUUGGUUGACACCAGAGUUUCCCAGAACACUCAGAUCAGUCUUCUAGGUAACGAUAUAUUUGGAUAUUGAGAAGGUGAAGGAACUAAGGUAAUAAAAGAAGAUGUUUUAAUAGGAAAGAAUGUACAAAUAUAUUUUCAGAAUAGUUGAACAAAGUGUGCUUAUGGUGGGUGCUGGAGUAUGGAGAACAGAUAUGACAGCAUGGAAAUAUUAUGAAGCAGCAUGUGCGCAAAAUAGCAUGUUGGGUAUUUUAUUGUAGCUCUUGUAUAAUUUUAGCUGACAACAAGUUAUUAAUUGUUAUAAAUUAAUGAAACAUUAGUGUAAAAUAUAUGUUAUUAGUUUAGCUUUAGAAAUCCAUGAAUUUGGUCACCUUUCCAAUGCAAGCAUCUUUCUAUUUUAGAGAACGUGGGGAAAUCAAGAUGCUGUGUUAAAUUUCACCUUACAUUUGGGUUUGUGAUGAUAAUCACAAAUCAGACAAUACACUUUUGGGGAAAAAAAUAGUAUCAGUAGAACUGAUACACAGUGAAUGUGCCCUUUAGAAUAACAUUUCUUGGAAAGGAGAUGGCUUGGAUCUAUAACAUUGAAGUGUUCUUACUUCUCUUUAUAUUCACUUCAUUAAUUACUCAGUUGAUUUUCUUGCUGCAAACAUCCAUAACGCUUAUUACUCUAUUCUUGAUCUGCACAAUGAUAGAAUAUUUUGCCAUGGUCAGAAUUAUCCAUAUGAGAGUGAUGUUGGACACCUGAGACAGGGUCAUGUUGUGAUCAGUAUGAAAGAAUGAUGGCUGGGUGAGGUUGUAUACUGGCGACUGAAAAGGCAGCCUGAACCAGCUGUGUUCCUAAGCCAUGUGCCACUGGCUCUGUGUGCUGUGGGCAGUGCUUCCUCCUUGGAAGGAAUCAUGCCUUAGAUGCACUGUAAGAAUAUCACCAUAGUGUUCACGUGUACCCACUACAAGAAAUACAGACCCGUUUGUAUCAGUAUGGCUACAGACUCCCACAGGGGUCUGCCAGUGUUUCAACAUCUGUCCAGACUCCAAACUCCUUUGUAGUUGUUUUCCAGGUUAGAUUUACCUAUCCUGUAAGUAAGCUUGUCCAAAAUGCAGGACUUUAUAUUGAGAUUUGCAGUGGUUUACCAAGUGGCUUGCAUCAAUCUGCCUCUCUGUCAUCAACUUCAGUAGUUCCCUCCUCUGCCUGACCAGACAGCUUGAUCAGUGAUGGUGUAUGUCUCUUCCAACUCAUUUCUUAAGUCUAAAUAAUAGAAAAACAAGAUAGGCAGAGAGUUAAUCCCUGUGGGAUGCUGCUAGAAACAUAAUGCCGUCAAUGCAUCAACUGCUGUUUGCAGUUGCAAUUUGAAACUUACCUAGCUAUGUUUUAAUAAUUCUAAAUGUGUUGUAUUGAUUUUGUAUGCUUUUAAUUAAUCAUUUUGUCCUUUGAUACUUCUUUAACGGCUUACAAAAAGAUUACACCUGUGUUAACACAUAGAGGUCUCAUUAAAAACAUAUUAGCUUAACAUAGGAGGUCUUGGGUUUCAUAAAGCUGUGUUGAUUAGUAUUAAUUUUUCUAUCCAUUCUUACUCAUCAAUUCCCAUAUAAGCCAUUUCUUUCACAGUCUGGUGUUGAUCUCAGUCUGAAAUAUGAGUGUUUACUUCCCUAAUUGUCCUUUUUGAAAAAUCACAGUGACUUCUACUUGCAAAUGAUCUGUUUACGGAAACACCUUCAAUAGCUGCUUUUCAGUAUGCUUUGGAUCACUGUUAGAAUAGGCACAUUGUGGGGUGGAUAUUGCAAGAAUAUUUGUAUUCUCAGUUUUAACAGUUCUACACUUUGUUUUGUAAUGAUCUAAUGGCCUUGGCAGGUUUUUCUUUUUGGUUUUGAUGCACACCAAAAGAUCUUUUGGAAAGUCUUUAACUUUUCUGUCCAGAUAAAUAAUCUUAGGUAAUUUUACCUCCUCCUUGUGUUAACACAAUCCAUUGCUUAUAGUCAGUGCUAUCCCAUUCCCUUACCAUGCUGUUAUUUUAUAUAUUUGUUUUUAUUAUUAGUCUGAUUUCUUUUUCUGAAAACCAAGUUAUGUUUUAAGAAGCGUUGUUUUCUUAUUGGCCUCUUCUGAAAUGUUUUUAUUCAGUCCUUAAUUCUCAAGUGUAUUUUUCUGUUUAAAUUAGUAAUUUCUUGUUGUUUUCAGUCAAAUAACCAUUUUUGAAACACCAGCUGCAUAUAUUUCUGAUCUGUAUGCUACUGUGUUUGCAUACAAACCAUGAGCAUUUGCACCUGAGCAACCGUUAGUUUUUAUUUUUAUAUCCACUUCCCCUUUAUCUUUCCAGAGGAGGUAGAAAGUAAAGACUUUUCUCUUUCAGUGGAGUGCUUUAUGAAGUAAGGUUGUUCUCUACAGUGUUCGAAAGGGACAUUUUGUCAUGUUCCACCUUUCAUUCUAAUUGGUCCUGCUUUGUACCAUUUCACUGAUCCACGUUUACUUGAAGGGCACAGCUGGGCUAUAGAUUUGACAUCUAAGUUGAUAGGUAAGUGGUGCUGUUUGUUUUAUUUGACCAGCUUUGUGAUUUGUUGAGUCCUAAAAUCUUCCAAAAUGAAUCA